rnacentral:miRNA from 1 species
UAAAAGUUUGGUUGGGUUUUU